AGAGUUUGAUCAUGGCUCAGGAUGAACGCUAGCGACAGGCUUAACACAUGCAAGUCGAGGGGCAGCAUAAUUUGUAGCAAUACAGAUUGAUGGCGACCGGCGCACGGGUGAGUAACGCGUAUGCAACUUACCUAUCAGAGGGGGAUAGCCCGGCGAAAGUCGGAUUAAUACCCCAUAAAACAGGGGUCCCGCAUGGGAAUAUUUGUUAAAGAUUCAUCGCUGAUAGAUAGGCAUGCGUUCCAUUAGGCAGUUGGCGGGGUAACGGCCACCAAACCGACGAUGGAUAGGGAUUCUGAGAGGAAGGUCCCCCANAUUGGUACUGAGACACGGACCAAAUUCCUACGGGAGCA
rnacentral:rRNA from 1 species